rnacentral:rRNA from 1 species
CCUACGGGAGGCAGCAGUGGGGAAUUUUGCGCAAUGCUCGUAAGAGUGACGCAGCGACGCCGCGUGAAUGACGAAGGCCUUCGGGUCGUAAAGUUCUUUCGACAGGGAAGAAAAUGCCUAUAAGUAACUGUGUAUGUAUUGACGGUACCUGAAUAAGCAGCCCCGGCUAACUCCGUGCCAGCAGCCGCGGUAAUACGGAGGGGGCGAGCGUUGUUCGGAGGGACUGGGCGUAAAGAGCACGUAGGCGGUGUUGUAAGUCAUUAGUCAAAGACUAGAGCGCAACUUUAGUAAGGCUAGUGAUACUAUAAUACUAGAGUAUCAGAGAGGAUUGCAGAAUUCCUGGUGUAGCUGUGAAAUGCGUAGAUAUCAGGAGGAAUACCGUUAGCGAAGGCGGCAAUCUGGCUGGAAACUGACGCUGAGGUGCGAAAGCGUGGGUAGCAAACAGCAUUAGAUACCCCUGUAGUC